UGCUCGGCGUGGUGAAAGGCGCGAAUGCGUUCCUUCAGGGCGCAUGGGGCGGUGAUCAGGCCGAGGGUUUUACGCCCCUGCCGGGCGA
rnacentral:tRNA from 1 species